UACAACCAAGUUAUUGUAGUGGAUCAUACAACCAAGUUAUUGUAGUGGAUCAUACAACCAAGUUAUUGUAGUGGAUCAUACAACCAAGUUAUUGUAGAGGAUCAUACAACCAAGUUAUUGUAGUGGAUCAUACAACCAAGUUAUUGUAGUGAAUCAUACGACCAAGUUAUUGUAGUGUAUCAUACAGCCAAGUUAUUGUAGUGGAUCAUACAACCAAGUUAUUGUAGAGGAUCAUACAACCAAGUUAUUGUAGAGGAUCAUACAACCAAGUUAUUGUAGAGGAUCAUACAACCAAGUUAUUGUAGUGGAUCAUACAACCAAGUUAUUGUGUUUUUCUUUACUAAACUGGUUAAAAAAAUCCCAUUAAGACUUUUUUUCUACAAAAUAAUUUUUAGUCUCAUACGAGCCCUUGGUCAAUAUUGAGUUUAGGUCCUGGUCUCAUACGAGCCCUUGGUCAAUAUUGAGUUUAGGUCCUGGUCUCAUACGAGCCCUUGGUCAAUUAUUGAGUUUAGGUCCUGGUCUCAUACGAGCCCUUGGUCAAUAUUGAGUUUAGGUCCUGGUCUCAUACGAGCCCUUGGUCAAUAUUGAGUUUAGGUCCUGGUCUCAUACGAGCCCUUGGUCAAUAUUGAGUUUAGGUCCUGGUCUCAUACGAGCCCUUGGUCAAUUUGAGUUUAGGUCCUGGUCUCAUACGAGCCCUUGGUCAAUAUUGAGUUAGGUCCUGGUCUCAUACGAGCCCUUGGUCAAUAUUGAGUUUAGGUCCUGGUCUCAUACGAGCCCUUGGUCAAUACUGAGUUUAGGUCCUGGUCUCAUACGAGCCCUUGGUCAAUAUUGAGUUUAGGUCCUGGUCUCAUACGAGCCCUUGGUCAA